AGCCUACGGGGGGCAGCAGUCGGGAAUAUUGCGCAAUGGAGGAAACUCUGACGCAGUGACGCCGCGUGCAGGAAGAAGGUUUUCGGAUUGUAAACUGCUUUAGACAGGGAAGAAACAAGACAGUACCUGUAGAAUAAGCUCCGGCUAACUACGUGCCAGCAGCCGCGGUAAUACGGAGGAUGCGAGCGUUAUCCGGAUUUAUUGGGUUUAAAGGGUGCGUAGGCGGAAUAUCAAGUCAGCGGUAAAAAUUCGGGGCUCAACCCCGUCGUGCCGUUGAAACUGAUGUUCUUGAGUGGGCGAGAAGU
rnacentral:rRNA from 1 species